UGAGUAACCUGCCCUUCACUCUGGGAUAACUCCGGGAAACCGGGGCUAAUACUGGAUACUCCGGCUGGAUCGCAUGGUCCGGCCGGGAAAGGUCCGCCGGAGAGGGAUGGGCCCGCGGCCUAUCAGCUUGUUGGUGGGGUAACGGCUCACCAAGGCGUCGACGGCUAGCUGGUCUGAGAGGACGACCAGCCACACUGGGACUGAGACACGGCCCAGACUCCUACGGGAGCA
rnacentral:rRNA from 1 species